CUGAAACGGAGCCGUUGGCAAGUGCUAGUCGGAAGCAGCUGAAAAACACGGCACCCAGCAACUAAACGGUCUCCUUCCUCUCCGCACUUCCUGCCGCAGAGGUCUAGAAGUGUGCAUCAGCAGAGCAACAGCGCCCCACCGGAAAGGACUAUUGUUAUGUGGCCGUUGAUGACAGCGGGUAAGUCGGAAUGAGUCGAACCAGCUUUACUGAUGGUGCAGCGGUCGUUGUUACUUGCGGUGUUUCUCUGCACUGCAUGUGGCGUGUUGAAGUAAAAACGCAGCGUCGGCAGAAAGGUGUGUUCGAGUGGCACAUUGUGU